rnacentral:rRNA from 1 species
AACGAACGCUGGCGGCAGGCUUAACACAUGCAAGUCGAGCGCAUCCUUCGGGGUGAGCGGCAGACGGGCGAGUAACGCGUGGGAACGUACCCUUUCCUACGGAAUAGCUCCGGGAAACUGGAAUUAAUACCGUAUACGCCCUUAGGGGGAAAGAUUUAUCGGGGAAGGAUCGGCCCGCGUUGGAUUAGCUAGUUGGCGGGGUAAAGGCCUACCAAGGCGACGAUCCAUAGCUGGUCUGAGAGGAUGAUCAGCCACAUUGGGACUGAGACACGGCCCGAACUCCUACGGGAGGCAGCAGUGGGGAAUAUUGGACAAUGGGCGCAAGCCUGAUCCAGCCAUGCCGCGUGAGUGAUGAAGGCCUUAGGGUUGUAAAGCUCUUUCAGUAGGGAAGAUAAUGACGGUACCUACAGAAGAAGCCCCGGCUAACUUCGUGCCAGCCGCCGCGGUAAAAC